UGGCGAACGGGUGAGUAACGCGUGAGGAACCUGCCUCAAAGAGGGGGACAACAGUUGGAAACGACUGCUAAUACCGCAUAAGCCCACGGGUCGGCAUCGACCUGAGGGAAAAGGAGCAAUCCACUUUGAGAUGGCCUCGCGUCCGAUUAGCUAGUUGGUGAGGUAACGGCCCACCAAGGCGACGAUCGGUAGCCGGACUGAGAGGUUGAACGGCCACAUUGGGACUGAGACACGGCCCAG
rnacentral:rRNA from 1 species